rnacentral:rRNA from 1 species
CGGUGGAUACGUUCCCGGACCUUGCACACACCGCCCGUCAAGCCAUGGAAGCUGGGUGUACCUAAAGUCGGUAACCGUAAGGAGCCGCCUAGGGUAAAACUAGUGACUGGGGCU